UACGUAGGGUGCAAGCGUUGUCCGGAAUCAUUGGGCGUAAAGCGCGCGUAGGUGGCUUCGUAAGUCCGUUGUGAAAGUCAAAGGCUCAACCUUUGAAUGCCGAUGGAUACUGCGAAGCUAGAGUACGGAAGAGGCGAGUGGAAUUCCUGGUGUAGCGGUGGAAUGCGCAGAUAUCAGGAGGAACACCAAUAGCGAAGGCAGCUCGCUGGGACGUUACUGACGCUGAGACGCGAAAGCGUGGGGAGCGAACAGG
rnacentral:rRNA from 1 species